rnacentral:rRNA from 1 species
GACGAAUGCUGGCGGCGUGCUUAACACAUGCAAGUCGAACGGAAAGGCCCUGCUUUGGUGGGGUGCUCGAGUGGCGAACGGGGGAGUAACACGAGAGUAACCUGCCCCUGACUUUGGGAUAACUUCAGGAAACUGGGGCUAAUACCGGAUAGGAGCUCCUGCUGCAUGGCGGGGGUUGGAAAGUUUCGGCGGUUGGGGAUUGACUCGCGGCUUAUCAGCCUGUUGGUGGGGUAGUGGCUUACCAAGGCUUUGACGGGUAGCCGGCCUGAGAGGGUGUCCGGCCACAUUCCGACUCUGGUCCUGCCCUGACUCCUCCUGGUGGCAGCAGUGUGGAUUGUUGCACGUUGGACGGAAGCCUGGUGCAGAAACGCCGCGUGCCGGAUGACGGCCUUCGAAUUGUAGCCCGCUUUCGCCUGUGAGGAACAGUGAGUGCCGGUACUGCGUAGAGCAGCCCCGGCUCCCUACGUG